GAGCUGCGGCGGGGCGGCCAUGGCGGCGGCGCGGCGGGUGCAGCUCCGAGCGCUGCUGCUGCUGCUGCUGCUGCUGCUGGGCGCGGCGGGGCCCGGCGCUCGGGCGGCGCGGAGCCGCGGGGCCGACCGCCAGAACAGCCUCCGCCGCGCCGCCAGCGGCCUCUACCAGGGCGUCAGCGGCCUCUUCGGCGAGGACAACGUGCGGGCCCUGCAGAAGUUUUUCUCAAGGUUGACAGAGAGGUUUGUGAAUGGGGUGGAUGUAUUAAUGGACACAUUCUGGAGAAUAUGGACUGAUUUGUUAGAUGUUCUUGGAAUUGAUGCCUCCAACCUGACUCAUUAUUUCAGCCCAGCAGCGAUUGCCAACAACCCGACCCGCGCCCUCCUGCUGAUCGGUGCCAUUUUACUGGCCUACUGGUUUUUAUCUCUUUUCCUUGGAUUCUUCUUCUAUCUGCUGCACAUGCUGUUUGGCCGCUUCUUCUGGAUCGCCAGGGUGGCCCUGUUCACCCUGUCCUGUGUGUACAUCCUGCAGAAGUACGAGGGCGACCCGGAGCACGCCGUGCUGCCCCUCUGCUUCGUCGUGGCCGUCUACUUCAUGACGGGGCCCGUUGGGUUUUACUGGAGAAGAAACAGCAACAGCAGCCUGGAGGAGAAGAUGGAUCACCUGGAUAGUCAGAUCAGACUGCUGAACAUCCGCCUUUCCAGGGUGAUCGAGAACCUGGACAGGGGCAGCGAGCAAUGAACCCGCCCCUGCUGACCACUCUGCACCAGCUCCGGAAAAAUCCUAAGCACUGUCUCAUCCGAAGUUACAAAGCAACAAAACAUCACAUGGUAAAAAGUGUGCGAAGUUAUAACUUUUCAUCGUGUCUAAGACUUAAUUUAUCUAGGUUAAACACUCAGCCGUUAGACUUCUAGGAGAAAGAAAAAACAUUUACAAAAUUCAGCUGUAUAUUCAGAGUUUUAUCCAGUACUAGAAUUUUCUCAGUAGAUAAACGCUUACUUUUACAAGCAUUUAAAAACAUCUUUUGUAAAGUUUUUAUAAAAGCAAAUUGAGUAGUCUUUCAGAUAUUGAAAUUGAGUUAAACAUAUGCAAAUUUGACACUAACAGUUAAAAAGAAAAAAAAAAAUCUCAAGCUACCAAGCACUUCCAUUGAGAAGUAACUGCUGUGGGUCCAUAUUUUUUCUUCAGAGUUGUGAAUGUUUUUGUGUUUUUGUUGGCUUAUUCCAUUGCCUUGAAGUUGCCUUUCAUAGAGUAUCAGAUGAGGAAUUUUCUGGUAUCCAGGCCAAAAAAUUCACACCAUAGCUUUUAACAGGAGGUGGGGAAUGAGGGAGAAGGAAGUUCUGAAGUCCUUAAAUGCCAGUCCAAUGUGAGGAGGCACACGUGUGGCAUUUUAUCAUUGCAUUUCAUCCCAAGAACUUUAAUUUGUUAGUGUCUGGAAGGAAAUCUGCUUUAAUAAAUUGGCACAGAAGGAAGAUGUAGCGUGACAAAUUGUAAUUCAUAUUCAAUCUGCACAGUGAAGCAUUUUCCAGGCUUAAGUACAUAGACUAAAACAUGGUUUUUAAUCUCAGGACCCGCAUACCUUCUCAGAAAAGGCAGCAGACAAAACACGUGCAAAUGCAUUGUUGCUUAAAGCUUUCUCAGGACCAAUCAGCGGCAAUAAAUUACCUUCAGGAAGAUCUGGAUUUUUUUCUAAAAUUACAAUAGUUUUUUAGGAGCUUUUUGCUUGAAGUCUAUGUCCUCAUUAGGUUUUGGGAAAAGCGAGUCACCUUUCAGAGGAGGGUGUAGGAAACGGUUCUCUUUCAAAGCCGUGGAGCUUUGGAGCGAUUUUAUUUUGCAGGAUUUCUGUAUUUCUUAGAGCUAACGAGCUUGGUAGGGCAUCACUGGCUGUGCUAGUUUACUGAAACUAAGGUAACCUCAGGGAAGGAAGGCUGGAAUGUGGUUUCACCUGGAAACAGCAGCACCCAAGAACGCAGAGGUGAGGAGGGAAGGGAAGCACCUACCCCUAGUGAUGAGCACAGUUCUGAUAGCACGAGGGGUAGGAUGGAGCACAGCUGGAGCAUUCCAUAUUCCAUAGGGUCCAAACGAACAACUACAUCCAAAAACGCAACAAGAAUUGUUCUGGGAUGGGGCCUGGCUACCAAGGAAGGGAAUGAGGAGGAGGAGGAGGAGGUUCCCCAGGUGUGCCUGCCAGUGCCAGCUCUGGUGGGACGGGCUGGAGCAGCUUGAGCACAGCUUGUUCUUCCACUGGGCAAAGCUGGAUGUGAUGCUUAGCUGAAUGUAACUGGGGUGAAUUUAUUUUUCUCUUGAUGCUGAAGUUUAAUGUUCUUGAAAUAUGUGUAUUAUUUGCCUAACCUCUUUGGGUCUGUGUGUGGCAUUUCCAUGGGGGUUAUUUUUAAAUCCAUGUUAAUGGCCUUUACUCCUGGUGAUCACUUUGGUUCAACACGGUUGAAGUUCAUAUGCACUUGGCACGGUUGGAAUGUGUUUUAAUUUUUUAUGUCACCUGUAAAUCCCCCUGCACCCCAUUUAUUAACAAGUACGUGGCUUAGAGUUGUUGAAUAACUGGUUGUCACAACUUAAAAUCUUUCCUGUGAUCAGAUAGGGACUAUGGCAACAAAUAGUCCCUUUUGUCAAGCUGAAAAUGUAAAUUACAGUAAAUUCCUUCUUUCAGCUCAUUUUCCAUAGUAUUACAGAGUCUUCUCUGUAGACUCAGUUCUCCUACUGUUGUGCACAGAGGGCUGGGCUGAAACGCCAGCCUGGAAAUUAGGAAUUGUCUAGUAAAGCUUGUCAGGUCUUGAUGUGUUUUGCCAAAUUUGAGACCUGAGGACCAAAGUUUGCAAACCUUGCUCGUGUCAGUGGCUCCAUCGCCUCCUUAGGACAAUGUGCAUGGGUCAGUUUGCAUAGAUUGUAUUUUGUGUAAUCCAUAUUUAACUUUAAAAAUACUGAACAUUUAUAUAUUAAGAGUUGUCUAUGAUAAAGAUUUCUUUGAAAGUAUUAUAUAAAUGUUAAUUUGGAUUACAGUUUCUCCCUGUCUCACUCUAAUCAUUUAUCUUAGUUUUGUAAAAUCAGCCCUCCUAUAUUGAUACUCUUUAUUUCGAUCACCCUGCUGCUUGAAAAAUUGUAUUUUUAUAUUUACUUGCAUCCCAUGUAUAGCAAAAUGUUAUGUGAAAAGCAGUAUAUAUAAAAUUGGGUAUUUUUAAUCAGUAUUUUUCCCAGCACUCAGUUUUCACGUUAGUCAAAUUCAGAAGUAAUGAUUUUUUUAAAGCACAAUCUAAUCUUAUAUAUAUAUAUAUACAUAUAUAUACACAUAUAUAUACAUAUAUAUAUAUAUAUAUAUAAAAAUAUAUACUUUAAAAAUGCUCUGUAUUUUUAAACAUGCACUGUAGUGAAAGCGCUUUUGGGGACAUGAAUGUGGUAUUGUACUUAAUCUCUUUCAACUUUUGUAAAUACCUUUUACAAGUGUUUUCCAUACUGGGCCAUCUAGUUUAUCCAUGGAGGAUUUUGCUGUUUUUUAGAAACCCGUGCCUGUGGCUGCACUGCUUUUGUAUCCCACGGAGCAUCUCAGAGACAGGCAGGGCUCUGUGUCACCUGUGGGUUACACCUGCAGGGGUGGCACGGGACAACCCUCAGCAGUGUCACUGUAUCAGGGCAAGGAUGGCACGGGACAAACCUCAGCAGCAUCACCUGUCCCAGGUGGGGAUGGCACAGGACAACCCUGGUAGCUUCAGCUUCUUGCUGUGACUUCAUGGAGCUCUGCCACAGCCAUGGUGCCCUGCUGGGGCACAGGUGACACAGGGACAGCCCCACCUGGCUGCUCCUGCAGGACAGAUCCUGCUCCUGGACCUUCCUGUGCCACUGGAGAGCCCAUGCCUGUGUGAGCGGCUGGCACAGGCGCCAAGGAUGGGUCUGGCUGCCCGGGAUCGGGAACUCACCGGGGUUCUGAGGGUUUUCAGCUGCCUGCUCUGGGAGCCAGCCUCUGGAAUCCUGCAGUGCUCCCAUCCCUGAAGGUUUUCAGCUGCCUGCUCUGGGAGCCAGCCUCUGGAAUCCUGCAGUGUUCUCAUUCCUGAAGGUUUUUGGAUGCCUGCUCUGGGAGCCAGCCUCUGGAAUCCUGCAGUGUUCCCACUCCUGAAGGUUUUUGGAUGCCUGGUCUGCAACCCAGCCUCUGAAAUCCUGCAGUGUUCCCACUCCUGAAGGUUUUCAGCUGCCUGCUCUGGGAGCCAGCCUCUGGAAUCCUGCGGUGUUCCCAUCCCUGAAGGUUUUCAGCUGCCUGCUCUGGGAGCCAGCCUCUGGAAUCCUGCAGUGUUCCCAUCCCUGAAGGUUUUCAGCUGCCUGCUCUGGGAGCCAGCCUCUGGAAUCCUGCAGUGCUCUUCCUGCUCUGGGAGCCAACCUCUGGAAUCCUGCAGUGUUGCCAUUCCUGAAGGUUUUUGGAUGCCUGGUCUGCAACCCAGCCUCUGGAAUCCUGCAGUGCUCUUCCCAUUCAUGAAAGUUUUCACCUGCCUGCUUUGGAAUCCUGCAGUGUUCCCACUCCUGAAGGUUUUCAGCUGUCUGCUCUGGGAUCCUGCUGUGCUCUUCCCCUCUGGCAGAGCACUCCAGUGCUGGUGGUUUGGGUGUCAGAGUGCAGUGUACACACCCAGUGUAGCUCAGUGCUGGUGGUUUGGGUGUCACAGUGCAGUGUACACACCCAGUACAGCUCAGUGCUGGUGGUUUGGGUGUCAGUGCAUUGAACUCAGUGCUGUACUUGUAGCACCUCCUUCACGUGGUUUGCUUCUCCAGACUCGUCGUUGCAUCGUCGGUGUGGAAAAUAGACCAGUAUCAACCUUUGCUCUUUGGUGGUGUGUAAGUGUUUAAGUGUGGUUUGCCUCACAUACUGAUCUGUAUUUGGCAGCUAAUGGUGUUAAGUGACCAUGAGUUCUCUUUGUCUGGGUUGGAAAAUAAAAGGUUUUAUUGUAUCCGCAUGUAUUUUAAACUUUUUGGAUAAUUCCAUCGACCUGUGAUGACAGCACAUGUAAAAACCAAUCCUUUCCUUUUAUUCAGAAGUUAUAUUUGCUGUGGUAGCACUUGUUGUUGGCACUGAUGGUAGUGAUUUCACAUCCUGUUUUGUACAUCAGGUUUUAUGAUUACAGUGUUUAAGUUUGUACAACUGUUUAUGUAAAAAUGAUUUGGUCUGAAGAGAUGCCGUGUGUUCACUUCCGAUCCUAGACACAUACGAGAUCCUGCUGGUAAUCCUGUUAACUAGUUACAAUAUACCAGACUUCUUUUUUACAGAGCUUUACAUGCUUUUAUUUAUUCCUUUAUCGGACCAUCCAAACCAUGUACUCCGUAGUUCAGUAUUUGUAGACCAGUUUCACAAAUCAACUUAAGGUUAAUUGUGGCAAAGCUUCGAAUAAAUGUUUACUGAGACUUUGCACUGA